rnacentral:sRNA from 1 species
UCGUACUUGACUAUCCAAGUGAAUACAUCACCGCAGUCGAUGGCACUUAUGAUAAAAUCUUUGGGAGUGAUGGCUCAGUCAUAACUAUGCUCAGGUUCAAGACUAAUAAGCAAACGUCUCCUCCCUUUGGACUUGAAGCUGGCACAGUCUUCGAACUCAAAGAGGAAGGCCACAAGAUCGUUGGUUUCCAUGGAAGAGCCGAUGUUCUGCUCCACA